rnacentral:tRNA from 1 species
GGCCUGGGUGGCCAGGCGCAAGCGCUCGCUAUAAUUGCGCAGCGUUUCUUCGGCGAUGCGUUGCUCGGUUAUGUCCCUGGCCAGGCCG